rnacentral:rRNA from 1 species
UGGCUGCAGUAUUUUGACUGUACAAAGGUAGCAUAAUCAUUUGUCUUUUAAUUGAAGGCUAGUAUGAAUGGUUGGACGAAAAAUAUACUUUCUUUAUUUUAUAUAAAUAAAUUAAUUUUUUAGUUAAAAAGCUAAGAUUUUUUUAUAGGACGAGAAGACCCUAUAGAACUUUAUUUUCUACAUAUAUAUAUUUUAUAGAUUUUUAAAAUAUUAUAUANUAAUAGUUAAUUUAAUUGGGGUGAUUGAAAAAAUUAUAUAACUUUUUCUAUUUCUAUCAUUUAUUUAUGAUGUUUUUGAUCCUUUAAUAUGGAAAAUAAGAUUAAGUUACCUUAGGGAUAACAGCGUUAUUUUUUUGGAGAGUUCUUAUCGAUAAAAAA